GCCCUGGUGGUGAAAUAGGUAGACACAAGGGAUUUAAAAUCCCUCGACUUUCGAGUCGUGCCGGUUCAAGUCCGGCCCGGGGCACCA
rnacentral:tRNA from 1 species